AAUAGGAGCAUGAUAAAUCAGAUUUUUUCUCUUGAUUUUUAGUUUUUUCCUCGUGAAAAAAAUUCAAAUCCAACUACAAAUACUAAAAAUCGAGAGGAAAAAUCUAAAUUGUCAUGCUCCUAUU
rfam:Gossypium raimondii Chr04_contig_659, whole genome shotgun sequence.